UUUGAAAAUAAAAUUGACUCUAAUUUGUUGUUUUGAAGCUACUUCAGGUAAGGUUUUCUAUUUGAUUCAAUAGGUUUUCCUGAUUUAGUAGGUCUACUUUCUUAGUUUGAUAAGGUUCUGAUUUUUGUUUCGUUGACUUUAUUCAGAUCGGAGAAGAACAUUAUUUUUAUUGAAUCAACAGGUUUUGAAUCUAGGUUCUGGAGGAGUAUGAGGAGGAUGUGGUGGUAGAGGUGGUGGUAUUGGAGCAGGUUUGAAGGAGGAUUUUGAAGUCAGUGGUGGUGUUUUUCAGAAUUGAUGAAUUGAAGGAGAUGAUGAGAAGAUAAAUGAUGAACUAUUUUAAGUUUCUACUACUGGUGCUAGUGGUGACAGUUACUAAGAAGGCUGACCCCAAGGUGCUGGCUAACAAAGCUUCCAAGGCUGUCAAAGCUGGAGCAUCAACCAUUAAGAAGAAGGCUAAGAACAUCUGCACAUCAGUCACAUUUCACAGGCCAAAGACAUUGCAGAAGGCAAGGAAUCACAAGUACCAAUGUAUUAGUGCACUACCAAGGAACAAGCUUGACCAUUACCAAAUCCUGAAAUACCCACUCACCACCGAGUCCGCAAUGAAGAAGAUUGAAGACAACAACAAGAAGAAAACAAGGAUGCUUUCAAGAAGAUGU